GUUUUAUAGCUCAAUACAUAAGCAAACGGCUUGCGCUCUUUUUUAAGUGGCGUCCAGCAGGUCGAUCACAAUCGUGCGCAAUGAGUUAACAGCCGUUUGUUCAUUAAACAUCAUCCCAUUCGUGUACCACUAUUUUCGUUGAGAAGAAGUGCUCAGUGUGGCAUAAUUUUAAUGAAAUACACAAUGAGAUUCAAGUUUUGCUGUGUGAUUCUGAUGACACUAGUGAUCAAUUCGAGAUCAGCCCCACAGAUAAACUUCAACCAACAGGACUCCGGUUCAGAAUCGAUGGAGUUGCACGAUGAAAUGAUGGUAGGAUGUGGUUACUCUCCCACCAUGGUUGUCUCACCCGUCAUUGAAACACCGCAACCCUCUUCGAUAAUACAACAUGAUAAGCCGAAAUCAACCGUGAAGCCUGUUUACAGCGUGAAACGCAAUUAAUCGCAUCGCAAAGCAGACUUUAUUUAUAGCACUAUGACAAAUGUUUUUCAAACAGGUUCACUCUAUUUUGUUUACAUUAGGCGUAUCUUUAGAAGUAAAUUGUGUCUGCGGAGAUCGCUCAAUAAGAUCGUCCGGCGAUAGAAAA